AUGGCUUCUUGGCCUUUUGGCUAAGAUCAAGUGUAGUGUCUGUUCUUACCAGUUUAAAAUCUACUUUAUUAUACAAGGUAAUACAAAAGUAAGUUUACAGUUGUGAGUACAUAAAACACAGUUUAUUCUUGUAUUGUGCAUUGAUUAUUGCAUUAUUUUCCAUACAGACGGCUGUAAACCUAC